rnacentral:lncRNA from 1 species
AGUCCAGCUUAUUAUUCAUACAAGAUACUUGAACUGUGAAAGGUUUUCAAAAUGUGGAAAAUUGUAUUAUUUCUGUUGUUGAUCUGUACACUGGGCCAAGAUUGCCUAGCACUAUAUAUAAAGAACAGUGGUUGUCCAAAUGGAUUAUUCUAUGUUCUUGGAAUGUGUAUUCCGGAAAACCAAUAUCGUGAAAUCUUUGAAAUUUGAAAAACUAUGGAGGAGCAUCGUAGAGACGGCUACGGAAGAAAAUUAGAGCUUUUUGGGCGAAAAAUCGUGUCUUACUAGAACUUUAAAACAAUACUUUAACUAAUUAUAAUCUAACUUAUAUUAAAGGAAAAUGUUUUUUUCCUUUUAUUGAUAAACUUAAUUUCUUUUUCGCUUCUUUUUUUAGAAGUUAAACGUUACCAAUAUUAUAAUAAUGUUUUCUUACAUAUAAUAAUAUGUCUGAAAAAUUAACCCUUUAUCCACGGUAAACUUUUUUUUAAAUAAAAAUCUUUUUACAAUGAAA